rnacentral:tRNA from 1 species
GCCUAGUUAGCUUGGUUGGUAGCGCGUCUGCCUUGUAAGCGCUAGGCCGCGGGUUCGAUUCCCGCCCGGGGCA